CCGCGGUUUAACGCGACAUUAAGCUUUCCCCUCUAUUACUGGGGCUUGUCCAUCUUCAUGGACUUUGAGUGGCUCCUGUCCACUCUGUUUGACGCCUCCCUGUUAUCUAACUUGAGCCGCCGGCAACGGCGGCUCCUUUUUU
rnacentral:sRNA from 1 species